AGCUAUGUUCAAGCGGAAUGUAGACACUUUUCUUCUUAUUCUCAAUAUCAUCUUCAAGUUAUCUGUUCUGCCGAAUGUUGCCUGAAGACGACUUUCACAUUACUUGUCAUGUGCAAACUGCAGAGCAAGUUAACGUUCGUUCUUCAUGUUUCAAAGGAGAUUUGAUAUAGUAACCACCACAUGGAUUACGUGGUAUAUUGGGCAGGAUGUCCUGUGGUCAUCUUGACAAGGCAUGGAAGACGAUAAAUGUCUGAGCUUGAUUCAGCGGUUUAUGAAUUCAGGAGUUUUAAAAUGUUAUAAAAGGAAAGGCAAAAUCCUCUGGCCUCAAAGUUAUUCAGAGGUAAAAGUUGGAACCCAAAGUUGACGCUACGUUAUGUUGUUUUACUUUGGAGAAGUGACUUCUUAAAUAUUAACUCACCUGAUGAAUCUAAUUGAAGAUCUACAUUGUUGUGGAGAAUUUAUGGCUGGUUACGAAUAUCAAGAAUUUUUAAAGAGUCUGAAAAAACCACCCGAUAAAAGGACACAAGAGGACCUACGAGUGAUAUAUACUCAUCUUCUUAAGAUUGAGCCCUUGUCAUCUUUACGAGAAGCUUCUCUUAAAACGUUAUGUAAAACUAUCAGAUAUGAACAACAUAGUGCCAACGAGGUUCUCUAUUGGUAAGCAAGUCCCAACAGCUUUUACUGUUCAGAAAGAAAAACUUCAUAUUGAGAAAUAUUGAAUAUCUAGACACAUUGAUGCUGGACUAUUGAACAUUACGUAAUAUAUAUUUUCUAUAAUUUGUUACUGCUUAUUUUCUAGAAAUUAUACUACUACAUAAGUAAGUGGUAAGUCCAGGACAG